CCUACGGGAGGCAGCAGUGGGGAAUAUUGGUCAAUGGGCGCAAGCCUGAACCAGCCAAGUAGCGUGAAGGAUGACUGCCCUACGGGUUGUAAACUUCUUUUAUAAAGGAAUAAAGUGAGGCACGUGUGCCUUUUUGUAUGUACUUUAUGAAUAAGGAUCGGCUAACUCCGUGCCAGCAGCCGCGGUAAUACGGAGGAUCCGAGCGUUAUCCGGAUUUAUUGGGUUUAAAGGGAGCGUAGAUGGGUUGUUAAGUCAGUUGUGAAAGUUUGCGGCUCAACCGGAAAAUUGCAAUUGAUACUGGCAGCCUUGAGUACAGUAGAGGUAGGUGGAAUUCGUGGUGUAGCGGUGAAAUGCUUAGAUAUCACGAAGAACUCCGAUUGCGAAGGCAGCCUACUAAACUGCCACUGACAUUGAUGCUCGAAAGUGUGGGUAGCAAACAGGAUUAGAUACCCGAGUAGUC
rnacentral:rRNA from 1 species